UUGAUUAUUGGCGCCACAAAUAUUGUCUAUUUUACGAAGAGAAAUGUACAAUUAUGGUAUUUUGGUUAGAUUGUAGAAGGUGGAAAAAAUACGGAACAACUUAAAGGAUCAGUAGCAUUUUAUAGACCCAUGUAUCAGAACAAAGAUUCCUUGGAAUAUUUUUCUCGACAACGAGACGUUUUGCCUCAACAACGGCCUUGCUACAGCAGGACCCAUAGUUACCACUAAAGUGCUAGCACAAGACUCUAACUGUAUUUGUACCAACUACCCUACCGGUAGUUGUGCUAACUACACUACCGUAGUUGUACUAACCUCACUUCCGGAGUUGUACUAGCCUCAUAUGCUAACUUCCCCACCAGCAGUUAAUACUGCAUACCAAAUCCUCACAUGCCACUGAAGAAUUCGGAUCCAGGUUCAAAUCCCGCUGGCCAAAAUUUGUUUUGUUAUU
rnacentral:sRNA from 1 species